CCACACUCCAUGAGUAGAAUAAUAAAAAUACUCUGCUUUUGAGAAAUAACGUUUAGCAAUGGCAGAUAGGGUAUGUUUCUUUUCCUAUUGUCUCCGUAAUUAGGUUGGAGGGAGAGAAAGAGAAAUGUAGAGAAAUAGUCGGAGAUGUUUGUGGCCCGGUAAGGCUGGUCUACGAUCAGGUGGAGGCGGGUGGAUAAAGGCAUCCGGGUUAAUUCCCUACCCAUAGUCGU
rnacentral:lncRNA from 1 species